rnacentral:rRNA from 1 species
UACGUAGGGGACAUGCGUUGUCCGGAUUUAUUGGGCGUAAAGAGCGUGUAGGCGGCCAAACAGGUCAGCUGUGAAAACUCGAGGCUCAACCUCGAGACGUCGGUUGAAACCGUUUGGCUAGAGUCCGGAAGAGGAGAGUGGAAUUCCCGGUGUAGCGGUGAAAUGCGCAGAUAUCGGGAGGAACACCGGUGGCGAAGGCGGUUCUCUGGGCCUGUACUGACGCUGAGGAGCGAAAGCGUGGGGAGCGAACAGG